UCCAAGGGGUAAAUAAGGGAUUGUGCAGUAGCACCAGCCAAAGAAGCAGAAGCAAAUUGCUCAAAAGUUUUUAAAGUGGCUCCUCCAGAAGAAAGAAACUUCUUAUACUUUAUUAAUAAGAGUUCAAAGGAGAUGGAGAGGACAUGAAGUCAACAAUGUACUGGAAGAACCAACUUUGAAAAGAAGAAAUACCUCAUUCCUUGGGACUAUGGAAAUGAAGUGAUCAGGAAUGUAAAUAAAGGAGAGCCAGAAACCCAAAGGAACUUCUAUUUACUCGUUGACAUACAAGGCAUGUACAGCUACUGGAAGAUGGGAGCAAGGAAUGACAGGGGCUGUGGUUGGGUUAAGUCAGUGUUUCUCAAACUCGACACUAUUGAUAUUCGGGACCAGAUCAUCUUUUGUUGUCCUGUGCAUUAUAGGAUAUUUAGCAACAUCCCUGGACUUCAUUCA